rnacentral:rRNA from 1 species
CCGGCACGGGUGAGUAACACGUAUGCAAUCCACCUGUAACAGGGGGAUAACCCGGAGAAAUCCGGACUAAUACCCAUAAUAUGGGCGCUCCGCAUGGAGGGUCCAUUAAAGAGAGCAAUCUUGGUUACAGACGAGCAUGCGCUCCAUUAGCCAGUUGGCGGGGUAACGGCCCACCAAGGCGACGAUGGAUAGGGGUUCUGAGAGGAAGGUCCCCCACAUUGGAACUGAGACACGGUCCAA